GGAGAUUAAUUACCUGCAAAGGUGCCUGUUUAACUCUCCAUAGUGCUGGGUUAUGGAAUAGAUGUUACUAGCAAGCAUUUUGCUUAAUCACCUAAUUACGCAAAAAAUAAAUACAUUAUAUAAAAUACUAUGUUAAUUAAAUACAGCUGAGUGACAGUCUGCUCCACCCUAUCCAAAUACGCGCACACAGACAUUUAGCACUGCAGUUAGAAGCUUUCUCUCUCCAGUUCCACGUUCUGAAGCACUGGCAAAAAAAAAUUACUGAGUAACAGCACUGCUGGUUCGGCAGGCACAGACUGGGGCAGAGUUACCUGCCCAGGCCCGGCCCAGGAGGUGCUGUGGUAUUCAGUGCCAGUCACACAGGUUCACAAGGAGACAGGAGGGAUGUAGCACGAAUCCUUUCCUAUAUCCCACAUCUGAGGAUCGAGCCUGACAUGGGGCAAAAUUCAUUCUCUGUACGUGGAAUGGCAGCAGAAGAAAAGGAAGUCACUAAGUGGCAUAUGCUGGGACUGCCUGCCAAGCGUUUACACAAGUCCUUUAUAUCUGGAUGGGAUCCACAGGAAGCUUGUACAGGAAGGACUUUUCCUUCCUUAUUUUUGAAAAGCUUUGUUGGAUGGAAAUUAUGCCACUUUGUGAAGCUGAAGUAGAAAGUUUUCUUCUUUCUACCUCCCCUACGCAGCUUCUUGGAAAAAUACCUGGCAAGGAAUUUCAUGGAAAGUUAUGGAAAAACACCUACAUCUGAUUAUUCAAAACUAUUUUAAAAAAGCCUUUGAGGUUAUUUGGUCACUCUUCUGAAAGUUUACUAAUUCAUGCUGGACAAGAAAACCAAUCCUAGUCCUCACUUUCGAUCAUUUAUGUAAUUAAGUCUUGUGUCUACAGUUCAGUCCGGAUCCACAGUCUGCCCUAUCAGCAUUUAAAGCCACCAGAGGCACGUUACUGAUGUGUGCUGCUCUCUUAGAGUCACCCCAGGACUGGAACUGCAGAAAAGAAUACGUUCAUCUUUGGAAAAAGAACAUUUUGUAUUGUAGAGAUGCAGCAGUUUACACGAUCUUCGCCUGUUUACACUUGAGGAAAUAGUGUUAAGAUAACAUUUGUGCCUUGUAUUGGAAAUAAAGUAUUUAAAUUAUUGUACCUGCUGUUGUAU
rnacentral:lncRNA from 1 species